rnacentral:rRNA from 1 species
GACGAACUGUGCGAACGUUAUUCGGAAUCACUGGGCUUACAGGGUGCGUAGGCGGCCUGUUAAGUAGGGUGUGAAAUCCCCCGGCCCAACCGGGGAAUGGCGCUCUAAACUGGCAGGCUUGAGUGAGCUAGAGGUGCAUGGAACUUCCAGUGGAGCGGUGAAAUGUGUUGAUAUUGGAAGGAACACCGGAGGCGAAAGCGAUGCACUGGGGCUUUUCUGACGCUGAGGCACGAAAGCCAGGGUAGCGAACGGG